AUACGGAGGAUGCAAGCGUUGUCCGGAUUUAUUGGGUUUAAAGGGUGCGUAGGCGGUUUGCUAAGCGGGAGGUGAAAUGCCGGCGCUCAACGUCGGAAGUGCCUCCCGAACUGGUGGACUGGAAUGACUCUGCCGUGGGAGGAAUGUGUAGUGUAGCGGUGAAAUGCUUAGAGAUUACACAGAACACCGAUUGCGAAGGCAUCUCACGAAGGGUUGAUUGACGCUGAGGCACGAAAGCGUGGGGAUCAAACAGGAUUAGAUACCCUGGUAGUCCACGCAGUAAACGAUGAUGGCUAACCGCUGGGCUUAUCAGUUCAGUGGCCAAGCGAAAGCGAUAAGCCAUCCACCUGGGGAGUACGACCGCAAGGUUGAAACUCAAAGGAAUUGACGGGG
rnacentral:rRNA from 1 species